CAGUCGAUGCAAUUCAGGAGAUGCCAAAUGCAGGAAUGACAGCUGGCAAAAGAAAAAAUCUACCGAUGUGUGAAUGCGUAAAUUAACAGAUUUAUUAAUUUAACGGAAUACUCAAAAGUCAGAUAUAUUCGUCUAGACGGGGCAGUGAUAUAUACAUAGCUUU